GCCAGAGCUCUCGCCAAAGCGGCGUUCCCAGGCUGCUUCUGCCCCCCCUCCCCGCCGGCCCCUGCGGUUCGACUUACCGCCGUCCAGUUUGACGACCUGGGGCAAGCGAUAUUACAUGCUUUCCCACCAAUUUGGUAUUCCCCAGAUGCUACUGAUCCAAAUCUAAUGAGAAGAGAUACAAAAAGAUAAUCUUAGGCUAAGGACUUAAUUGGAGAUACUCUUUAGAUGAUAAUACGCAUUACUUCAUUCACUUCAAAAUGGAUUGGUUGGCAGAAAAUGUGUAAUACAAUGAAAAUGGAUUGAAGAAGGUUUCACUGAAGCAGGACUGAGGUCACAAUGACUAUGAUAAUAUGGCAGCAAGAAGUUACUUAUGGCAUCCCAUUGUUUAUCUCAGUACCCAAAACUAUCAGAAGGUGGAAAAGAUUUGUGUAUUACUUCCCAAUGCUUGCAUUUUUUGUCAUGUUAAUUUACGAUGUCAUUAUUUCCUCCAGAAAUCAAUAAAGGUAUC